UACAGAGACUGCAAGCGUUAUUCGGAUUCACUGGGCGUAAAGGGUGCGCAGGCGGUUGGGUGUGUCAGAUGUGAAAUCCCGAGGCUUAACCUCGGAACUGCGUCUGAAACUACUCGACUAGAGUACUGGAGAGGGAAACGGAAUUCACGGUGUAGCAGUGAAAUGCGUAGAUAUCGUGAGGAACACCAGAGGCGAAGGCGGUUUCCUGGACAGUUACUGACGCUCAGGCACGAAGCAAUGGGGAGCAAAGGG
rnacentral:rRNA from 1 species